GAUGAACGCUGGCGGCGUGCCUAAUACAUGCAAGUCGAGCGAACAGAUAAGGAGCUUGCUCCUUUGACGUUAGCGGCGGACGGGUGAGUAACACGUGGGUAACCUAUCUAUAAGACUGGAAUAACUCCGGGAAACCGGGGCUAAUACCGGAUAACAUGUUGAACCGCAUGGUUCUACAGUGAAAGGCGGCUUUGCUGUCACUUAUAGAUGGACCCGCGCCGUAUUAGCUAGUUGGUGAGGUAACGGCUCACCAAGGCAACGAUACGUAGCCGACCUGAGAGGGUGAUCGGCCACACUGGAACUGAGACACGGUCCAGACUCCUACGGGAGGCAGCAGUAGGGAAUCUUCCGCAAUGGGCGAAAGCCUGACGGAGCAACGCCGCGUGAGUGAUGAAGGUCUUCGGAUCGUAAAACUCUGUUAUUAGGGAAGAACAAAUGCGUAAGUAACUGUGCGCGUCUUGACGGUACCUAAUCAGAAAGCCACGGCUAACUACGUG
rnacentral:rRNA from 1 species